UCCCAGGCCCACCACUUUGAUCGAGUGAGCAUUCGUCUUCUGGUUACGGGGCCAUAGCUCAUCUGGGAGAGCGCGUGCUUUGCAAGCAUGAGGUCGUCGGUUCGAUCCCGUCUGGCUCCACCAGAUGGUUUGAUCGCCGAGAUCUUGCACCGUCGUCCGCGAAACAUCGCUUCGCAUCCUGCUAGUCUGGAUAGACAGCAAGAUGCGUGUUUUCUGACAUCGUAAAGAGGAGAUCGAUCCGAGUUGGGUCGUGCAGCAGAUUGUUGCGCGAAUCCUUCAUUAUCUCCGGAUCAUUUUCGGCGCUCGCUUUCAGCCGUGAGGUUGAAUGCGAGUUGUAAAAUGAUCCUUUUAGCGAAGCUUGACCGCCUCGCUAUCGGAACGAUCUUACGAAGCAAGCUGGUCUUUCUAGUCAAUGUCCGGCUGCAGAUAGCGUUCGUCGAGGGCGCGUGCCGCAAGGCAAUUCUGCAGACAACAUUCUGCCGAGUGUGUGGACAUUGAUAAUGAGAGCAAUCAAGUGCCUUAAGGGUGUUCGGUGGAUGCCUUGGCGCUGAGAGGCGAUGAAGGACGUGCUACGCUGCGAUAAGCCGUGGGGAGCUGCGAAGAAGCUUUGAUCCGCGGAUUUCCGAAUGGGGAAAAACCCGG
rnacentral:misc_RNA from 1 species